rnacentral:sRNA from 1 species
UCAUCGGUCAGGCUCGCGCGGCCAUGUAAA